rnacentral:rRNA from 1 species
AACGAACGCUGGCGGCAGGCCUAACACAUGCAAGUCGAACGCUGUAGCAAUACAGAGUGGCAGACGGGUGAGUAACACGUGGGAAUCUUCCUAUCGGUACGGAAUAGCCCAGGGAAACUUGGGGUAAUACCGCAUACGCCCUUCGGGGGAAAGAUUUAUCGCCGAUAGAUGAGCCCGCGUCUGAUUAGCUAGUUGGUGAGGUAAUGGCUCACCAAGGCGACGAUCAGUAGCUGGUCUGAGAGGAUGACCAGCCACACUGGGACUGAGACACGGCCCAGACUCCUACGGGAGGCAGCAGUGGGGAAUAUUGGACAAUGGGCGCAAGCCUGAUCCAGCCAUGCCGCGUGAGUGACGAAGGUCUUCGGAUUGUAAGGCUCUUUUGGCGGGGACGAUAAUGACGGUACCCGCAGAAUAAGCCCCGGCUAACUUCGUGCCAGCCGCCGCGGUAA